UGGGGAAUAUUGCACAAUGGGCGAAAGCCUGAUGCAGCAACGCCGCGUGAGUGAUGACGGUCUUCGGAUUGUAAAGCUCUGUCUUUGGGGACGAUAAUGACGGUACCCAAGGAGGAAGCCACGGCUAACUACGUGCCAGCAGCCGCGGUAAUACGUAGGUGGCAAGCGUUGUCCGGCUUUACUGGGUGUAAAGGGUGCGUAGGCGGACCUUUAAGUGAGAUGUGAAAUCCCCGAGCUUAACUUGGGGGCUGCAUUUCAAACUGGAGGUCUAGAGUGCAGGAGAGGAGAGUGGAAUUCAUAGUGUAGCGGUGAAAUGCGUAGAGAUUAGGAAGAACACCAGUGGCGAAGGCGACUCUCUGGACUGUAACUGACGCUGAGGCACGAAAGCGUGGGGAGCAAACGG
rnacentral:rRNA from 1 species